UACGGAGGGUGCAAGCGUUAAUCGGAAUUACUGGGCGUAAAGCGCGCGUAGGCGGCUGGAUAAGUCGAUUGUGAAAGCCUUGGGCUCAAACCCUGGAGAAUUGCAGUCGAGACUGUUCGGCUAGAGUGUGGGAGAGGGUGGUGGGAAUUCCCGGUGUAGCGGUGAAAUGCGCAGAUAUCAGGAAGAACACCAAUGGCGAAGGCAGCUCUCUGGGACGGUACUGACGCUGAGGAGCGAAAGCGUGGGGAGCGAACAGG
rnacentral:rRNA from 1 species